ACCGAGACUAGAGUCACAUCUUAACAUGUUUGAUUGUCUUGGUGUGCUAUAGUUCUCGGACACAAACGUCUGAUCCCUAUUCGCAGGUUGCGGUGUCUCUUACCUCAGCCAGCCACCGAAUCAGCGACACUG
rfam:Phalacrocorax carbo contig97050, whole genome shotgun sequence.